rnacentral:lncRNA from 1 species
AUGCUCUCUCAAACAGAGCACAGCUCUCCCCCAGCACAGCUGCCUGCCCACCCCUCGCCACUGUUUCUCCUCAAGCUCCUCUCCAAACACGCCUGCACACCUGGGCCGGCUUUCACGAUGAAUUUUUUGCCCGGUGCAGGUUUUUGGGAAGGCGGAUACCCCUCGCCGGGCCGCCGCUCCCCACACCCGCCUGCUCCCCGGCCCCUCAGGGCCCCGCGGAACCCCGGGGGAGGAGGAGAAGGCCUCCAGGAGUGGUGGCUCUUCCAGGGGCAGGGCAGCCCGAGGUGGGAGGGGGCAUCCCAUCCCACCCCACCCCAUCCCGGCACACACAAAGCCAGCGCUACCGAGUUGGAGACAGGGGAAGGAGGAAGGGAAGGGGGGUCGCCAUUUUGCCCCCUCGCUCCCUCCGGCACCGAACAAAGGGGCGGGGGCAGCAUCCUCCACCCUGGGCAUCCCUCACUCACACACACACACCGGUCCCGGUCAGCCGGUCCCGCCGCCGUCCCCGCUGCCCCCUCCCGGCCGCCGGCACCGCAACUCACCGCCCGCCGCCGCCGCCGUCAGAGCGGGAGGUUUCGGGUUACACCGCCCCCGGACCCCCCACAGCCGCCGCCAGAGAGGCCCCGAACCGCCGCCCGACCCUCCCCCGCCAUAGCCAUGCCCCCGCCGGCCCGGCCCGCCCCGCCGCCUCACCCCUCAUCGCCGGCCUCGCCACCCGCCAUUUUCUCUGCCGCCACCGCCCCCCGGCCGGGCGAGGGGGAGGCGCGGAGCCCCCAGGACAGCCCGUCCCGGAUCUGGUCUCGCUGUGAGCGGGCUGAAGAGCGAGGGAGGGAAGAAGAAGGGGCGGCACCGCCUCCCACCCCAGGGAGCAGCCGGUGCUCUGCGGGUCUCCCCGCAGCCCUCCUCCGCCGGGAGCUCGCUGGGAAGGAGGGCUCCGGUUUUUAUACAGAUGAGGUGAAGCGACUGGGCCCAGCGCAAGGCGGUCGCAGAGAGUGGCAGAUCCUCACGGCUUCCUAG